AGUGAACGCUGGCGGUAGGCCUAACACAUGCAAGUCGAACGGCAGCACAGUAAGAGCUUGCUCUUACGGGUGGCGAGUGGCGGACGGGUGAGGAAUACAUCGGAAUCUACUUUUUCGUGGGUGAUAACGUAGGGAAACUUACGCUAAUACCGCAUACGACCUACGGGGGAAAGCAGGGGAUCUUCGGACCUUGCGCGAUUGAAUGAGCCGAUGUCGGAUUAGCUAGUUGGCGGGGUAAAGGCCCACCAAGGGGACGAUCCGUAGCUGGUCUGAGAGGAUGAACAGCGACACUGGGACUGAGACACGGUACAGAGUCCUACGGGCGGCAGAAGUGGGGAAUAGUGGAAAAUGGGCGCAAGACUGAUCCAGCCAUACCGCGUGGGUGCAGAAGGCCUUCGGGUUGUAAAGCCGUUUUGUUGGGAAAGAAAAGCAGCAGGAUAAUCCACGGCUGUUCUGACGGUACCCAAAGAAUAAGCACCGGCUAACUUCGUG
rnacentral:rRNA from 1 species